UUUUAGGCUCAAUGGUUAAGUGUUGGUGUAUUUGUCCCAUGGUCUUAGGUUUGAGCCCCUUUUUCCCCAUUUCAUUUUUUUAUUAAUUUCGAUAAAUUUUGGUAUAUUGACCAUUUUCGCUCCUAACCCUAGGUAUUUAGUCACUUUUUCUUUCCUAAUUAGAUUUUCAUUUUGCCUUUAUUCAUAAUUCUAAUAGAAUUGCUCUCCACAUUCUUUUCCUCUUCUUUUCUCUCUUUAUUGUCCCUCAUUUUCAGUUCUGUGCUUUUGAUUCUUUUUCUUUCCCGUAUCAAAAUGUCCCCAUUUCAAUCAUUUCCAAACGAUGUUUAGAAUUGUCAUCAAUAACAUUUGUUACCUUUGCCAAGAAUUGGUAAGUACACUUCGUUUCAACGGUUAGAUUUCGUAUUUUCGUUGUACCAACAUCUGAUGUUAAUUUUCUGAUUUGAUUAAACAAUAUUUAACAAUCUUACCCAAUUCUUGAUACCAAUCAUUAAAUGUGUGUAUUUGUUGUUGAAGGGCCAAAUUUAGGUGAAUUGGAUCAAAGUUGAUCAUGGGAAGUGUCAAUCGGACCUGUGGUGAAAGGUGUGUGUCUUUUCCAAGUGAAUCGGUGGUGAUCGCGUGUAGGAUUAGGGCCAUAUUAUCUCCCACACGGGUGUGUAAGCCAUACAGGUGGGCUACAUGGCCAUGUGCUACUGUUACGUUAGGGUACCUUCGUUUUUCACACGGCCAAGAACCUGUCACACGGUCAGGUCCUUCUUGUAGGGUAAUUUAUCAUUUUCCACACGACAUCAGGUUGUUACAUAGCUUGGCCACACUGUUGUGUAACCCUUCCACACGGUCGUCUGACCCUUUUUUUUACAAUUUUACCCAAAAAUGUAUGAAUUGG
rnacentral:lncRNA from 1 species